GCCGGGCGCAGUGGCGCGUGUCUGUAGUCCCAGCUAUUCGGGAGGCUGAGGCUGGAGGAUCUCUUGAGUCCAGGAGUUCUGGGCUGUAGUGCGCCAUGCCAAUUGGGUGUCCGCACUAAGUUCGGCAUCAAUAUGGUGACCUCCCGGGAGUGGGGGACCACCAGGUUGGCUAAGGAGGGGUGAACCGGCCCAGGUCGGAAAUGGAGCAGGUCAAAAUUCCCGUGCUGAUCAGUAGUGGGAUCGCGCCUGUGAACAGCCACUGCACUCCAGCCUGGGCAACACAGCGAGACCCUGUCUCU
rnacentral:SRP_RNA from 1 species